AGGCAACGGUUCCUUGGUUACCGUUCCCUGGCGACCAUGAUUCUCAUCCCUCAUUGGCCAGAGCCAGGAAUCUACCUGGUGCGUGCCUUGGUACCCACUGCCCCUCCCCCUGUUUGGAGGGAGGAGGAGAAGAAUCUGGUGCUCGAUGCUGGGCAUCCCCUGGUAACCAUAGCAACCCAGCAAUUGGCACAGAAACCAGCCCACCAGAGCUGUAUUCUCCUCGAACACAAAGGACCCCAGGGACAUCCUCAGACUCACUCUCUCCCUCUCUGAGAUGGGGAUGAGGUCACUGUGGUCACUCCCAGGUUCUAACCCUAAGAUCUGGUCCUCUAACUCCGAGGCUGCCUCUGCCCUAGCUGAACCCUCCUAGGACUGCCAUGUAGACUGAGGCUGGCCAGAAGGCUUCCUUCCCUCUUAGCCUUUUCUACUCCGUAUUCAUCCUCGGCAGGCAUCCUACAGCAUCCAUUUCAUAGAAGAUGCAGCCCGGAGACGGCACCAGGAAUCCUGGUUUCUUCCAAGACAUGCUCUGGACUUCACACCUCUCUGUGACAGGCUGCUCCUCAAGGCUCUCCAGGGCCCCUUCCAUCCUGCCCACCCACCUCCAAGCAGCCCCUCUCCCCUGCUAGGGCCACAGCCCUCCUUCAGACGUUCAGUUCCAGCCUUCCAUCGUUCAGUUCUGCUCAGCCCACGUUUCAAAAAUGACCGCUGUACUCAUCCUCACACUAGGGCCACACUGGCUUCCAAGUUCAGUUCUGAAGACUACGUUCUACCCUAGACCUGCCCUGUGCCCUUGGAUACACGAAGACCACUCAGGAUGACACUGUCAGCCUGAGCUUCUCACCCCAGAGCGCUAACACAGACAGACAUCUGUUCUUAGCCCCAGACCCUGCUGGACAAUGUUUCUCUACCAUACCACAAGCACCUGGUGACUGGCUGGCGGGCUGGGAAGCAAGCAGGAAAAAGGAGAUGGGGACGAGGGGGCUGUAGCUGUCCGCCCCUCAGUAACAUUAAACCCUGGAGACAGUGAUGCCACACACUGCCGUGUCAGUUCUGUGAAGGCAGAACUCUGCUGACACCAACUGUUGUCUCUUCCUGGGUCCAGCACAAAGUAGCACCGUAGGGAUUUGAGGUGUUGACACAAACUCUUAUCAAGCAUCUAAGCCACAGGAAGAAGACUAGGGCAAGGUGAGUGUGACUUCAGCAGCUCCAGGCCUGCCGGGAGUGGAAGGCUGAGGACCAACACACUCUCAGGGUUCUAGAACUGGAAAGGCCCUGGAAACCCUGGAGGGGCCGUGCCCAGCCCCUCCCCCCUUUUCUCAGAAUACUUAAGAAGAGCAGGAACUUCUCACGGGAUGAAUCAGAUCAUAACCAGGUGCUGCUGGCCUUCCCCGCUGCAGUCUGACUUCCCCAGAGCUCGGCUUCCAGCACAAGGGCAGUGGCCCCCAUAAGAGACCCUGCCACCUGGGGGUCAGCUACCCUAAGCUCCGCCACACCCACAUCCAAAGUCAAGGUAGAGGAGGAGGACACCACACACUCAUGCCCCAACAUUUGGACCCAGGACGCCCCUCCCACUGGACUGUUAAAUGCAGGGUCUGCACUGAACCUCGGGACCUCCCCCAGCCCCCGGCUGUGUGAUGGGAGCUGGGAAACAUCAUGUCAUCUUCUGGAAGGUGUGAUCUUCACACCCUGUUCACAACAUCUGUUUAGGCCCCUGGGAGUAAGCAAAUAUAUAUAUAUGCAUUUGAAGGUGCAUCUGUGCUUCUGUGUGUCCCAUACCACCCAGAUGGGGCUGACGAAUGCCAGGGCUGCAUAACUAACUCCCUUUGGCCACAUGGAUGUUGCUGGUGGUGAAAGCCCAGGCCUCCGCUGAGCAGAAUGUGGGGCAGCAGUAUUUGGGAAGGCCCAGCAUUGCACUGUCAGUGUUUGCUUCUGAGGGGUUAAGAAAUUUGGGGUGUUGUCUACACCCCCUAGACUGGAGAAGAAGGCAGGGUUCCGGUCAGUGUUUCUCCUCAGGCAGGGCCAUAUCCCCAAACGGGUUCUUCCUCCAGGCCAAGCAGGCCACUUGCCCAGAUUGCGUCUCAUGAUCUCAGCCCCCCAGGGACAGGGCUGGGACAACAAUGUGGGAACUGCCUGCUUGGCCUGAACAACCUCUCCUAUAACUGACCUGCAAGACACAAGAACUUGUCUCUCGAGUCCAUCCCUCCGGCCUGGCUGCCCGCCAGUGCUGCAGCACCAUGGCAUGGAGGCCUGGCGAUUUUGUUCCCUCCUCCAGCGCCCCUACCUGGCUGCCCUCCCAGAGUGAGGCCAGCCCAACUGGGGUCCUCAGAGCAGCCCCAACUCUGCCCCAGCUUUCCCAAGAGGAGCCUACUUUCUGUCUGAUGAGGUGAAGAGACCUAAAUACAAAACAGGGAUUUGCCCCCUGAGAAGAACACUUGGGGGCUGUGUUCAGAAUGGGGCAUCGAACCCCUCGGUUUGCCUGACACCCUGGGGCUCGGGUGGUUUACGCCCUCCUCCACCUCAGGUGGACCGGACCUGUGGCCCAUGCCAGCUCAAGGAUGCUUCUGAGGCCAGAACAGGGCAUGCUCGGUGACAGAUCCCAUGAGGAGGCAGAGCCGAGGGAAAAAGAGGAAGCCACCAUCGCCUGUAUCAAGCAUCAGCCACUGCUGAAGCCACCAACUAGUUCUGGAAAAUCAUCUCCAUUUUUUUACUUCCCCUUAAAGGAGUUUGAAUCUCAGCGAUAACCCUCCCUCAUCUACAUGGUCCCUUAAGUGCUGGUCAUCCUUUUUGGCGGCCAGGGAUGUGGCUGAAACCUGAGUUGACCUACUGACUGAGCAAAAGCCCUUGGUUCUCUCCUGGCCCCGAGCUGGCGAAGCAUGUCGUCCCACUCUGAUGGCCCUGGAAUCUAGACUAAGCCUCUCUUCGCACUGGGAAGGGGCCCUUCCAGUAUUCUCAACGGCUGUGGAUCUCUGUGUACUGCUCCCUGGGUGGGCAGCCACCAGGCUCUUUAGCCGACGCCUCCAUUCCUUUCCUGCAGCAGGGCUUGGAGAGGCGGGUGUGUACCUUCUGUGUGUACCCAGGCCAUGUGGGGCUGAGCCCUGAAGAGGCAGCACAGAAGCAUCCGUUCUGGAGAACAGUCCCUCGCCCUCCGCCACCCCUCCCUGCUGACUGCAAAUGAGUUCCAGUUGCUCAGAGCAGGGGAAAGCCCCUCCCCCGCCCGCUGCCCACGCGGACCCCUAGGAAGGACAUUGCCCUUGUUGGCUGGGGAUACUGCACUCUCUCCAAGGGAGCUAAUGGCCUCUCCCGCCUGGCAUAACGACAUUCAUUUCCAAGUAUAGGCUCCAGGCCCACAGCCUUACACUUCAGCUUGGGAACAGGGGGGUCUUAGCAGCCCUGGAUGGGGGGGGGCGCUGUGAAAGGGUAGGGAGAGGUACCGGAGUGUGGUGGGGAGUCCCUGCACCUCUAGUCCACAGAACAGCAAUUUCUGGUCAUUCCCGAUGGGUAGCUCUGUGUAUGUCACCUUUGCCUCUCUGAGCCUAGGUUUCUUAGUUUUUAAAGACGGUCUUAACAAGCA